GAUGAAGAACGCAGCGAAAUGCGAUAACUAAUGUGAAUUGCAGAAUUCCGUGAAUCAUCGAGUCUUUGAACGCACAUUGCGCCCCCUGGUAUUCCGGGGGGCAUGCCUGUCCGAGCGUCAUUACAACCCUCAAGCCCGGCUUGUGUAAUGGGCGGCCGUCUCUCCCCCCGGGGGGAGACGCCCCCGAAACUCAGUGGGGAUGUCGCGAUACCGAAGCCUCAGCUAAUGGGUAAACCACAGCUGCAAUGGCCGCGGCCGGCGUCCGCCUUCCACGGUCCGUCCGCCUAGCGCGGGCGGCCUUCUCAAGGUUGACCUCGGAUCAGGUAGGGAUACCCGCUGAACUUAAGCAUAUCAAUAGCGGAGGA
rnacentral:misc_RNA from 1 species